rnacentral:lncRNA from 1 species
GGAGACUGCCUUCCCCAUGGCCUCUUUGCUCAAAGGUCUGGUCAGAACCCCUGUGAGCAUGGAGUCAGGGGAUCCCCAGAAAGCAGCGCUGGAGGAGGGGGCCUGCUCACCCUGGGGGAAUGGGACCUUCACAAUUUAGAUGGGGAGACUGAGGCUCCAAGAAAAGAGGGGAAUUGGCUACUCUGCAAACCCGGUAACCAGCAAAACCUAAAUCAAACCCAGGCCUCUCACCUCUUGACCACAAGCCGGCGUGUGAUGACACCAACUGGUUGGGUUCAGCAUAAAGAAAGAAACAGAGGAACACACUGGCCUGCUGGCUUCUGCUCCCCUCAGGCUGCUUCCCCAGGCAGGUUGUGCAGGCUUUUGUUGGGGUAGGGGGUGGAUUUUAUUCCCUGAGUUAAGUAACCUGUGAUCAACCCCUUGUGUUAACAGCUAUCAUGUGUAGCCUCAGCCUCCUGCCUUGCCCCUGAGAGGAUCUGUGUUAAAUUGACACCAGCGAUGAACAGUGUGGCUGAGAGGCAGGGAUGGGCAAGGAGGGGCAGGAAGCAGGGGCUGGUCUGUGGCCUGUGGACGUGGAUAGAGGCUCUGGCCUGGAAUUGACUGGAUGCAUGUUAUGUGUACCAAGCGCUGUUCCCAGCACUUCUCAUGCAUCAUCCCAGUUCAUCCUCACGACCAUCCUUGAAGAUCCUCAGCAUCAUUCUCCCCAGUGUCUGGAUGAGGCAGCUGAGCCCAGGAGAGGUUGAGCUACUUGCCCAAAGUCACACAGCUGGAAAGUCAAGAAGCCAGCACUUGGGACCCAGGCGCUGUGGCUCCAGAGCCCACCCAUGGCUCUCCCAUGUCUGGGGGAGGAACACAGCUUCAGAGCUGGAUUCCAACCUGAGUUGCAUUGUGUACAAGCUGCCUGAGCCAGCUGCUUAAUCUCUCUGAGCCUCGGUUUCCUCAGCUGUGCAAUGUGGACACAAUACCCACUUUGCAGGGUCCCAAUGAGGCAAGGGGUAGAAAGGGCAUGGACUGUGCCUGGCACAUGGAAGGGGUAUGACAAAUGGGGGUGGCACUUGUGGUUCAUGUCCCAUGGCCCGUGAGUGUGCCAUGACUGAUGUUUC